AUUCAAGUUCCAGAAUCACAAAUUCCCAUUUUCAUUUUGCGGUUGCCUGCAAGAAAUUCUUGUUUCACUUGAAGGAUUGAAGAAGUCAAGAAAACUUGGAUAAAGUACUUUUAGUGAUAGCUAUGAGGUUCUUCCGUUUAACAGUGAGAAAAGUUCUUUGGAAGAAUAGUUCAUCUAGUGCUGAAUUUACUAGCUUUUAUGAGUUGAUCUCUGUUUCAAAUAUGUCCAUUUCCUACAUUUAUCUUGGCAGGAACGAGCUUUCGGGCACAAUUCGUCCUCAACUUUUUUAGCUCGCAAAUCAUCCUGAUACAUGGGUAAGAACUGAGAAGUAAGAACCACCCAGUAUUUAUCAUUUUCUUGGCAAACAAUAUUUAUCAAUUUAGACUCUUUCAGUAUAACUAUCAAAGAAAAUUAUGCUGACUUGCCUACUUACAGAUUGGUUGGAUCAUAACAAAGCAUAGAAUACUGAUACAGAGGUUCAAUAAACUGAAUCUUCUGAUGAUGCCGUAAUGUAUCGCCCUAGUUUCUAGCUUCAUUUGGCAUUACUGCAGUGGCUUUAUUUUUCUAUGUUACAUUUAAUAUUGGUUUUUAU